rnacentral:rRNA from 1 species
GGCGAACGCUGGCGGCAGGCUUAACACAUGCAAGUCGAACGGGCGUAGCAAUACGUCAGUGGCAGACGGGUGAGUAACGCGUGGGAACGUACCUUUUGGUUCGGAACAACACAGGGAAACUUGUGCUAAUACCGGAUAAGCCCUUACGGGGAAAGAUCUAUCGCCGAAAGAUCGGCCCGCGUCUGAUUAGCUAGUUGGUGAGGUAAUGGCUCACCAAGGCGACGAUCAGUAGCUGGUCUGAGAGGAUGAUCAGCCACAUUGGGACUGAGACACGGCCCAAACUCCUACGGGAGGCAGCAGUGGGGAAUGUUGGACAAUGGGCGAAAGCCUAAUCCAGCCAUGCCGCGCGAGUGAUGAAGGCCCUAGGGUUGUAAAGCUCUUUUGUGCGGGAAGAUAAUGACGGUACCGCAAGAAUAAGCCCCGGCUAACUUCGUGCCAGCCGCCGCGGUAACAC